ensembl:rRNA 5S_rRNA 5S ribosomal RNA
GUCCAGGGCCACACCACCCUGAAUGCACCUGACCUCAUCUGAUCUCCAAAAGCUAAGCAGGGUCCGGCCUGCUUAGUACUUGGAUGGGAGACCCUUAUUGCUUAAAAAUCUGUAUGGUCC